UACGGAGGAUGCGAGCGUUAUCCGGAUUUAUUGGGUUUAAAGGGUGCGUAGGCGGGUUAUCAAGUCAGCGGUAAAAUUUCGGGGCUCAACCCCGUCGUGCCGUUGAAACUGGCGUUCUUGAGUGAGCGAGAAGUAUGCGGAAUGCGUGGUGUAGCGGUGAAAUGCAUAGAUAUCGCGCAGAACCCCGAUUGCGAAGGCAGCCUGCCGGCCCCACACUGACGCUGAGGCACGAAAGCGUGGGUAUCGAACAGG
rnacentral:rRNA from 1 species